AACUCCUACGGGAGGCAGCAGUGAGGAAUAUUGGUCAAUGGGCGAGAGCCUGAACCAGCCAAGUAGCGUGCAGGACGACGGCCCUAUGGGUUGUAAACUGCUUUUAUGUGGGGAUAAAGUGCGUGACGUGUCAUGCAUUGCAGGUACCACAUGAAUAAGGACCGGCUAAUUCCGUGCCAGCAGCCGCGGUAAUACGGAAGGUCCGGGCGUUAUCCGGAUUUAUUGGGUUUAAAGGGAGCGUAGGCUGUCUAUUAAGCGUGUUGUGAAAUUUACCGGCUCAACCGGUGGCUUGCAGCGCGAACUGGUCGACUUGAGUAUGCAGGAAGUAGGCGGAAUUCAUGGUGUAGCGGUGAAAUGCUUAGAUAUCAUGACGAACUCCGAUUGCGCAGGCAGCUUACUGUAGCAUAACUGACGCUGAUGCUCGAAAGUGCGGGUAUCAAACAGGAUUAGAUACCCUGGUAGUCCGCACGGUAAACGAUGGAUGCUCGCUAUUCGUCCUAUUUGGAUGAGUGGCCAAGUGAAAACAUUAAGCAUCCCACCUGGGGAGUACGCCGGCAACGGUGAAACUCAAAGGAAUUGACGGGGGCCCGCACAAGCGGAGGAACAUGUGGUUUAAUUCGAUGGAUACAGAGAUGUUGAGGCCCUUCGGGGCGCUGGUGGAGGUGCUGCAUGGUUGUCGUCAGCUCGUGCCGUGAGGUGUCGGCUUAAGUGCCAUAACGAGCGCAACCCUUUUCUUUAGUUGCCAUCAGGUGAUGCUGGGCACUCUAUGGAUACUGCCACCGUAAGGUGUGAGGAAGGUGGGGAUGACGUCAAAUCAGCACGGCCCUUACGUCCGGGGCUACACACGUGUUACAAUGGGGCAUACAGAGUGUUGGCUUAACGCAAGUUUGGUCUAAUCUUCAAAGUGUCUCCCAGUUCGGAUUGGGGUCUGCAACCCGACCCCAUGAAGCUGGAUUCGCUAGUAAUCGCGCAUCAGCCAUGGCGCGGUGAAUACGUUCCCGGGCCUUGUACACACCGCCCGUCAAGCCAUGAAAGCUGGGGGUGCCUGAAGUCCGUAACCGUUAAGGAGCGGCCUAGGGCAAAACUGGUGAUUGGGGCUAAGUCGUAACAAGGUAGCCGUACCGGAAGGUGCGGCUG
rnacentral:rRNA from 1 species